CAGCAUACUGUGGUGAAUACGUUCCCGGGCCUUGUACACACCGCCCGUCACACCAUGAGAGUUGAGAAUACCCGAAGCCCAUGUCAAAGUGGUCGAAGGUAGGCUUGAUGAUUGGGGUGAAGUCGUAACAAGGUAGC
rnacentral:rRNA from 1 species